UACGUAGGGUGCGAGCGUUGUCCGGAAUUAUUGGGCGUAAAGAGCUUGUAGGCGGUUUGUCGCGUCUGCUGUGAAAUUUCGGGGCUCAACCCCGAACUUGCAGUGGGUACGGGCAGACUAGAGUGUGGUAGGGGAGACUGGAAUUCCUGGUGUAGCGGUGAAAUGCGCAGAUAUCAGGAGGAACACCGAUGGCGAAGGCAGGUCUCUGGGCCACUACUGACGCUGAGGCACGAAAGCCAGGGGAGCAAACGGG
rnacentral:rRNA from 1 species